CAUGAAGCUGGAAUCGCUAGUAAUCACGGAUCAGAAUGCCGCGGUGAAUACGUUCCCGGGUCUUGUACACACCGCCCGUCACACCAUGGGAGUCGGAAAUGCCCGAAGUCUGUGACCUAACCGAGAGGGAGGAGCAGCCGAAGGCAGGUCUGAUGACUGGGGUGAAGUCGUAACAAGGUACC
rnacentral:rRNA from 1 species